ensembl:snRNA U1 U1 spliceosomal RNA
AUACUUAGUUGGCAGGGGAGACACUGUGAUCACCAAGGUGCUUUUCUCAGGGUGAGGCUUAUCCAUUGUACCCUGGAUGUGCUGACCACUCCUCCAAAUGUGGGAAAUUCAACUGGGUAAUUUGUGUGAGUGGGGGACUGUAUUUAUGCUUUCUUCUA